UUUUUUUUCCCCCUUUUACUUAUAGGUUUAUACAUUUGGGUUUUUAAUUCUGGUAUCAAACACUUUGAGUUCUUCCUUGUGUUUAUACUUUUGCGUUUUUUUUUUCUUUUUUACUUAGCCUUUCCUACGUUGGAGUUCUUAAUUCUGCUAUUAAUCAUUGGAGAUCUUGCAUCUAAGCUUUUAUACAUUUGAAUAUAAGGUUUCUUUUUCUUAUCUGAGUUCUUGGCUCUGCUAUUGAACUUUUUGAAGUUUUGAAAUCUGAGCUUUUGUAUACUGGUGUUCUUAACCUAUGCUAGGGAGUGUUUCUAUGGUUUUACAUCUUCAGGCGGGUUGCCUGCUGGGGAUAUUUGUCUAAGGCGGACGGACUUGUAUUUCGUAAGGAAGCAAAAUCGCUUCCUUACAAUAUUGAUGUACGUAGAUUUAUGUAGAAGUUUCAUGGUUGCACAACAGAUUUCGUUACGUCCUGGGAAUAAUUAAUAUGAGUGAUGGUAUGAGGAAUACUUAUAUACUGUCCGUGUUGCGUUUAGCCGUGACUUUAAAGUUGCCUGCUCGGAGGUUACGAAUUGGUGGUCUGCAGCGACCAUACCAUACGUUAUUAACCGUUGUAUCAGACGUGUUACAAGAAUUGGACACAAAACUUUGUGUGGAGGGGAUCCAAUGAACCGUAAAUGCGCAGGCGAAGGUGUGUUCUUGCCAGUCAUUAGUAUUCCAGGCCUAGUGGAAAGUCAAGCCUCCGAAAAGGAAAACAUAGCCUAAACGGAAUGGUAAUUUGCAACCAUGAAAUGAAACUAACGGCGGUCAAUGCCAAAUUUUCGAAAUCUUCGCAUGGUUGUCACGUUGGGAGGCACUGCGGCGAAAGGGCUUACGUGGAAUACCAUUGAAAUGGGCAUGAUAACAAUACGUGGCUACUCGUUAUUUUGAGGUUACUCUUAGAUCCUUGGCUGAUGACGCCUCACCGAAAUUCGGCGAACUUCCUAUAAAGAAAAAUACAACGAACUCCAUUGCAAGACGAGGAACAUUGUGGAAAGGGUGCAUGUAUGAAGGAUCCGAAAUUGCAUUUGUAAAUUGUGAAGAAACGAACGCUACCUCAAAACGAUUAAAUUUAUGCAAAAGCUCCGUGCCUUCAAAGCAAAAUUGAUAUGACGGGUUGCAACUAUACCGUAAGUGUUGCACAAAGCAUGUUAUCAAUCGUUGUAUCAGAAGUCUUACAAGCGUUGGAAACACAACUUGGUGCGGACUGUAUCCAAUGAAACAUAAACGCGGAUACGAAGGUGUGGUUUUACCAGAAAUUUGGUAUUCCAGGCGGUAACUAAUUGAACUUUUUGUUUUAGAAUAUACGACUAUUAUAAUAUUUGUAUUAGUUAUUACUAUAAUUGGUUGAUGUAACGCGCAUAUGAUUUUUAAAGCCAGUGGAAAUGAAACAAUUUCCAUUAAUCGGAAAGGAAAGUACAGCCAAAACGGAAUGGUAAUAUGUAAUCUAAAUAUUUGUGUAUUCUUCCCUUUAUUUACAUAAGUGUAAACGUCAUCUUUUAGAUUGGCGACCAUGAAAUGAAAAUCAUUGCGGUCAAUUUCAAAUUCUUGGAUUUUCCCAUGAUUCGCACGGAACCUUUGUAACGGCCGCGAACAAACCUUGGGUAGGGUGUCUGUCGGUCCGUGUCAACCGCAAGUAUCGCAAUAACG